rnacentral:rRNA from 1 species
UUUAACUGAAGAGUUUGAUCAUGGCUCAGAUUGAACGCUGGCGGCAGGCUUAACACAUGCAAGUCGAGCGGGGGAAGGUAGCUUGCUACUGGACCUAGCGGCGGACGGGUGAGUAAUGCUUAGGAAUCUGCCUAUUAGUGGGGGACAACAUCUCGAAAGGGAUGCUAAUACCGCAUACGUCCUACGGGAGAAAGCAGGGGAUCU